AUUGAACGCUGGCGGCAGGCCUAACACAUGCAAGUCGAACGAGUGGCGGACGGGUGAGUAAUGCCUGGGAAUCCAGCCUAUGGAGGGGGACAACUACUGGAAACGGUUGCUAAUACCGCCUACUGUCGGAUGAACACAUAUGGGAUUAGCUAGUAGGUGGGGUAAAGGCUCACCUAGGCGACGAUCUCUAGCUGGUCUGAGAGGAUGAUCAGCCACACUGGGACGGAGACACGGCCCAAACUCCUACGGGAGGCAGCAGUGGGGAAUAUUGCAGAAUGGGCGGAAGCCUGAUGCAGCCAUGCCGCGUGUAUGAAGAAGGCCUUAGGGUUGUAAAGUACGUUAAGCGGGGAGGCGUUACCCGCAGAAGAAGCACCGGCUAACUCCGUGCCAGCAGCCGCGGUAAUAC
rnacentral:rRNA from 1 species